rnacentral:rRNA from 1 species
UACAGAGGUCUCAAGCGUUGUUCGGAUUCAUUGGGCGUAAAGGGUGCGUAGGUGGCGCUGUAAGUCGGGUGUGAAAUUUCGGAGCUUAACUCCGAAACUGCAUUCGAUACUGCGGUGCUUGAGGACUGGAGAGGAGACUGGAAUUCAUGGUGUAGCAGUGAAAUGCGUUGAUAUCUACAGGAACUCCGGUGGCGAAAGCGGCGUGCUGGACCUUUUCUGACGCUGAGGCGCGAAAGCUAGGGGAGCAAACGGG